CACGUAGUUAGCCGGGGCUUCUUAGUCAGGUACCGUCAUCUUCUUCCCUGCUGAUAGAGAUUUACAUACCGAAAUACUUCUUCACUCACGCGGCGUCGCUGCAUCAGGGUUUCCCCCAUUGUGCAAUAUUCCCCACUGCUGCCUCCCGUAGGAGUUUGGGCCGUGUCUCAGUCCCAAUGUGGCCGGUCACUCUCUCAAGCCGGCUACUGAUCGCUGCCUUGGUAGGCCGUUACCCUGCCAACUAGCUAAUCAGACGCGGGCCCAUCCUGUACCACCGGAGUUUUUCACACCGUGCCAUGCGGCACUGUGCGCUUAUGCGGUAUUAGCACCCAUUUCUGGGUGUUAUCCCCCGGUACAGGGCAGGUUGCCCACGCGUUACUCACCCGUCCGCCACUCAGUCAUACCCCUCUUCCGCCCGGAGGCUUCCGUGGUGUAUGCUUCGUUCGACUUGCAUGUGUUAGGCACGCCGCCAGCGUUCAUCCUGAGCCAGGAUCAAACU
rnacentral:rRNA from 1 species